rnacentral:rRNA from 1 species
UACGUAGGGGGCAAGCGUUGUCCGGAUUUAUUGGGCGUAAAGAGCGUGUAGGCGGCCAGACAGGUCCGUUGUGAAAACUCGAGGCUCAACCUCGAGAUGUCGAUGGAAACCGUCUGGCUAGAGUCCGGAAGAGGAGUGUGGAAUUCCUGGUGUAGCGGUGGAAUGCGCAGAUAUCAGGAGGAACACCAAUAGCGAAGGCAGCUCGCUGGGACGUUACUGACACUGAGGCGCGAAAGCGUGGGGAGCGAACAGG